rnacentral:rRNA from 1 species
CCAGACUCCUACGGGAGGCAGCAGUGGGGAAUAUUGGACAAUGGGGGGAACCCUGAUCCAGCGACGCCGCGUGAGUGAAGAAGUAUUUCGGUAUGUAAAGCUCUAUCAGCAGGGAAGAAAAUGACGGUACCUGACUAAGAAGCCCCGGCUAACUACGUGCCAGCAGCCGCGGUAAUACGUAGGGGGCAAGCGUUAUCCGGAUUUACUGGGUGUAAAGGGAGCGUAGACGGUUAUGUAAGUCUGGAGUGAAAGCCCGGGGCUCAACCCCGGGACUGCUUUGGAAACUGUUAAGCUGGAGUGCAGGAGAGGUAAGUGGAAUUCCUAGUGUAGCGGUGAAAUGCGUAGAUAUUAGGAGGAACACCAGUGGCGAAGGCGGCUUACUGGACUGUAACUGACGUUGAGGCUCGAAAGCGUGGGGAGCAAACAGGAUUAGAUACCCCGGUAC